ACCGGGAGAGGGAGGGGACUACCUGAGAGUGUGCUCUAGGUGUAAAUUCAGAGGGGACACUGGACGCUCUUGUGGAGGAGUAGGCUUGCUGGUUAACGUUGGCUAGCUACUUCCAGAAACAAAUGAGAGCACCUCACUCUGACCGUUUUACUCAGCCUUUGCAGAGCUGUUUUCAUGUUAUCCAGAGUGUUGGUGACUGUAACUGUGCUGCUGGCAACAAUUUAAUUAUGCUUUUUUCUCGCCGACGUUUAUCAGUUAUUCUGCGCUCUGGCACACUGGGUGUGUUCGUAAAUGCACUCUGGUGUACCGGAGUGUUGUCAGAUUGUUACAUUUAGAACAGACAAAUUGCCAGCCAAAAUAACAUGUCACGCAACUUCUUUGAAAAGUCAUUACUUUAUUCAAUUGCUCAACAUUUCCGCUCUCCUAUGACAUCGGCUGCAUACUUUCCACUCCCAUUUUCUGAAGGAUUACAUUAUGGGACCAAAAAGCACGGAAAUAGUGUCCACUGCUUGUAUACCAUGACCAAUAAGCAUACUACAUACUCAAAUGAUGUCACAAAUAGUAUGGUUAGUGCGUUUGUAUGAGUAUUCAAACACAGCUGGUUUGUUGUUGUUGGAAGUUAUCUGCAGCUAUUCAGCUAUUAGGUUUACUCCAGGUUAUAACAUCAAUGCAUUAGACUAUUAGGUUUACUCCAGGUUAUAACAUCAAUGCAUUAGACUAUUAGGUUUACUCCAGGUUAUAACAUCAAUGCAUUAGACUAUUAGGUUUACUCCAGGUUAUAACAUCAAUGCAUUAGACUAAUGCACACAUCUCAGAGGUUGUUGUGGCUAAAUAUGCCACGCUAACAUGUGUCCACUGAUAGCCUAGGGAUACAUUCUGAUCCAUAGACACCAUACUUCCUUAAUGUCAGUCUUUCAACCACACAUCAAGUCAUGUCACUCUGAUAGUAAUGAGCUCGUCUCCAGGCUGAGCGAGAGAGAGAGGAGUUUAUCAUCUACUUCACUUGCUUUGGCCAUGUUAACAUAUGUUUCCCAUGUUGAAGAUGAGAAGCUGAAGUUGCACAUGCUGGUACCUUGUCACGAUGCAUUUCUCCUCUCCUGUCUGUUGGUUUUUAGUAAUGAAGCCCCGAGUAUGUCACAAAAACAUCCAUUGAUAUGCUCAAGGACUGGUGGGUUCUGAAAAAUGUGGAUGUUUUCAAGCAGGAGCUGCUGGUAGUACAUGCUGCACAUGCAUGGGCAACCAUCACAACAUGCAAUAUAGAAGCUGAGGAAGGAGCAAAACACCAUAAAUACACAGAGGAAUGUAUAUACUUUUUCAAAAAGCAUUCUCUGAAUUUGGUGCACGGCCCCUUUAACCAACCACCCCUGGUUCAGUUCUCAUAACAUCUUUGGUUGAGUUGAGUGGCGACCCAUCCUUCAGGGCAGGUGAGACAGAGCUGUUUAGCUAACAAAAAUAUACACUGCUCAACAAAAUAAAGGGAACACUUAAACAA